rnacentral:rRNA from 1 species
UGAAUACGAGAUGCUACGGCGUCGAAGCAGUCUAUGUCAUACUUCCAAGAAAAGCUUGCACUGUCAUAAACAAAUAAUGCCUGUACCAUAACCGACACAGGUGGGUAGGUAGAGUAUACUAAGGGGCGCGAGAUAACUCUCUCUAAGGAACUCGGCAAAAUGACUCCGUAACUUCGGGAGAAGGAGUGCCUUAUUUAUAAGGUUGCAAUAACAAGAUCCAAGCAACUGUUUACCAAAAACACAGGUCUCCGCUAAGUCGUAAGACGAUGUAUGGGGGCUGACGCCUGCCCAGUGCCAGAAGGUUAAAGAAGUUGGUUAGCAUCCGCGAAGCUGAUAACUGAAGCCCUGGUGAACGGCGGCCGUAACAAUAACGGUCCUAAGGUAGCGAAAUUCCUUGUCGGGUAAGUUCCGACCCGCACGAAAGGCGUAAUGAUUUGGAUACUGUCUCGGAGAGGGGCUCGGUGAAAUAGACUUGUCUGUGAAGAUGCGGACUACCUGCACCAGGACAGAAAGACCCUAUGAAGCUUUACUGUAACCUGAAAUUGAAAUUGGACUUUACUUGCGCAGUAUAGGUGGGAGGCGUUGAGAAUAUUCUUGCGGGAUUAUUGGAGCCAUCAGUGAGAUACCACUCUUGUAAUGUUAGAUUUCUAACUUUGUAUCAUUAUCUGGUCAAAGAACAGUUUCAGGCGGGCAGUUUGACUGGGGCGGUCGCCUCCUAAACGGUAACGGAGGCGCACAAAGGUUUCCUCUGAACGGGUAGAAAUCGUAUCUAGAGUGUAAAGGCAUAAGGAAGCUUGACUGUGAGACCUACAAGUCGAACAGGGACGAAAGUCGGUCUUAGUGAUCUGACGGUGCUGAGUGGAAAGGCCGUCACUCAACGGAUAAAAGUUACUCUAGGGAUAACAAGCUGAUCUCCCCCAAGAGUUCACAUCGACGGGGAGGUUUGGCACCUCGAUGUCGGCUCAUCGCAUCCUGGGGCGGUAGUACGUCCCAAGGGUUGGGCUGUUCGCCCAUGAAAGCGGUACGCGAGCUGGGUUCAGAACGUCGUGAGACAGUUCGGUCCAUAUCCGGUGUAGGCGUUAGAAUAUUGAGAGGAGCCUUCUUUAGUACGAGAGGACCGAGAAGGACAUACCUCUGGUGUACCAGUUAUCGUGCCAACGGUAAACGCUGGGUAGCUAUGUGUGGAGUGGAUAACCGCUGAAAGCAUCUAAGUGGGAAGCCCACCUCAAGAUAAGUAUUCUC